CUUAAGCUCCUCACUUUCUGAGUCUCAGUCUCUCAAGCACAUGCAACUACAGGCUCACCCCACCAUGCCUGGCUAAUUAAAAAAAAAUUUUUUUUGGUAGAGAUGGGGUUACUCAGGCUUGUCUCAAACCCCUGGCCUUGAGUGAUCCUCCUUCCUAGGCCUCCCAGAGCCUAGGGAUUCAGGUGUGUGCCUGGCCAACACCCUAAUUUUAACAAUUGUCCUGACUCAUGUAUCUUUCAAGCUUAAAAGAGAACAUGCGCCCGGCGCAGUGGCUCACGCCUGUAAUCCCAGCACUGUGGAGGCCAAGGCGGGCGGAUUGCCUGAGCUCAGGGAUUCGAGAACAGCCUGGGCAACAUGGUGAAACCCCAUCUCUACUAAAAUACAAAAAACUAGCCGGGCGUGGUGGUAUGUGCCUGUAAUCCCAGCUACUUGGGAAGCUGAGGCAGGAGAAUUGCUUGAACCUGGGAGAUGGAGGUUGCAGUGAGCUCAGAUCACAAAGGAAAAGAAGGAAGUGCUUGUUGUUAUGAGGGUGAGAGGGUAGCAUUUGUUAAACUUGGCUAGAGCCAGUGCAAAUAGAAUUUGGGAAGGUCUGUGAUUUUUUCAAAGCUAUUUACAAGCUACUACUCCUCAGCAUGUAACUCAAAGGACAUUUUGAGUAUUAAUAAGAUUAUUUCAUGAACUGCUUUGAUUUUGUUCACUGAAAUGUACCUUAUAAAUUAUGAUUUUACGAUUGAAGAAUAUAGGUAGAUUUAUAUUUUUUCCUCUCUCUUUUCAGAAUUAUGUUGAAUUUCUCAAUCAGGUAGAUUUCUAAAUGUGAUGAUAAUUGCUAUAAAAUUGUCAAAAAGUUCCAAAGCAGUCUGAAACACAGUAGUGGGUUCAAUCAAUGGUUAGUUUCAUUUCUUUUCAAAGGCAUCACUAGACUUUCCUUAUGGCUCUGGAAUUGUUCUCAAACUUUGAUUGAUCUUCUGAAUCACCUGAAGUACUUGAUACGGUAGGAAUAUUUGUGUCCCCUCAAAUUUCAUAUGUUGAAAUCGUAACUUGGUAUUAGGUGUUAUAUACCUCCUGUAACAGUGGUAUUAGGGAGCGGUGUAUUUGGGAGGUGGGGCUUUUGAUCAUAGAGGUGGCGACCUUCUGAAUGGGAUUAGUUCCCUUGUAAAAGAGACCUCCUAGAGCUCCUUUGCCGCUUCCACUAUGUGAAGACACAGUAAGAAGCCAGCAGUCUUCCAGCCAGGAAGGCAACACUCACCAGAACCCUGAUCUCAGAAUUCUGGCCUCCAGAGCUGUGAAAAAUAAAUUUCUAUUGUUUAUAAGCCAGCCAAUCUAUGCUGAUUUGUUAUUGCAGCCUGAAUAGAGUAAGACAGUACUUGUUUAAAAUAUGCAUUUCCCACCUGUCCUCCCAGGAAAUUCUGAUCCAGGAGGUUCGAGGUGGGACCUGGGAAACAUUUUCAACAAGGCUCUCAAGUGAUAAUUAAAAUCAGCAACACUGCGUUACAACAGUGGUUCUCAACUCUACUUGGGCAGCUUAAAAAAAAUCCUGGUCCCUGGGUCCUGCCUCUAACCAAUGUAGUCAGAAUCUUUGGUGGCAGGACCCAGGCAUUUGUACUUUUUAAAAAAGAAUCCUCAGGUGGCUUUAAUGUGCACCUAGGAUUAACAAUCAUUGUUCUCAGUGUUCUUGUGAAUAUUAAAAUAGAUUCUGGAAAAAUGCUGUGGGAUCAUAUAUUUUUACCUCUAGUGCUUCUCUAAGAUAAAAUAUAUUUAAUUUGAGGAAGUGUUAAAAUCAGAAUAUUUCAGUUUGAGACAGAUACCACAUAGAGUCAAUUUGAGUACCAGAUAGUCAACAUUUCUGGGGUGAAAUAAGUCAGUCUCCAGACUUUUUUCAAGAACUUUACCAAUAUUCUACUUGGGCUUUUAAUCAUGUAUAUAAUUCACCCUAGUAACCCCUUAGCAACAGACUGUGAUAUGCAGAUAGGAUGCAAAUUAUCAGGUGAAGAAAGUAGAGAAACGCAGAAGCAAGAUUUGAGGUUAAUUGUGGUAGAAUUUAAAACUGUGGCCAGGAACAGACUUCAUUAUUCUCCUUCUUUUUGCUUCCAGAAAAGAAUCUGCACAGGUGUAUUUACCUAGGUGAUCUCCAGUCUGGCUAUUCUUAAUUGGCCAUCUCAGCUUUUGGAAUAUGUGGAAAGCCAGGUUCUGAUCUGGAUAAUGGCACAAGGAUGUUGGCAGAUUAUUAUGUCUCUUGAUUUCAGGGAGUUUAGCUUUAUUUUUGCAGUGAGGUGCAUUAGUUGAGGAAGAUCCAGUACCAGAUGGUAAUGUUGGCUGGGAGUGGUUUUCUCACCUAUAUUUGGCAGCUUUACUCGGAAGUGGUGUUUUCAGUGCCUGAGACUUCCAGUCUAUGCUACUUAACAUGCUCACUGGGAAGCUUUAGGUGGUACAGAAGCAAUGACACAUCUCAUUAAAGGUCCUGUAACUAUGAACAUCUGACAUCUGUGCUGCAAAUAGAACUGAAUGCAGCCUUCAAGUAGUUACAGAUUCAAGGGGUAUGUUGUUUUCUAAAGGCACGGCUGAAAUUCAUUAUAUUUACCAGGCUAAUUUCUAGAGGCAUUGACUGGAAGACAUAGAUUAUGCAUUAAUAAACUGCUCCUUUCCAAGAUGACCUCCUCCUAAAUGGGUCCCCUCUUUCCUAGCAUUUAGACAAUGGUUUCAGCUGAUGGCUUAUCCAUGAUUUAGCAAUAAUCAUAACAAUAGUGAUCAUAAUUUGAAUACCUAGAAUAUGCUAGGAUACUUUAUGUAUAAGUGAUACAAUAGCUUUCCAAGAUAUUCCCACUUGGUGGAUGAGGAGCCUGGGGCUCUGAGGAAUUAAGGAACUUGCCAAAGACCACAAAACUCCUAAGUGAUAGAGCCAGGAUUCUGCCAGCUAUCUGGUUGCCCAGUGGAGUCUCUGUCCAUCUUGUCACCAGCCCCUGCACUGUGUACAGGAAUGGAAUCAGCAUUCGUUGCUAUAAACUACAGUAAGGUCAAGGAGGCAGAAUUUCCUGCAAGGAAGUAAAGAGUCCCUUCUACCUUUGCUGGAUGGAGCCUUCUUUGCCACGUACCGGGGUGAGAAGGCUGGGGACAGAGGAGUGUGAGCUGGAAGGAGAGGGGACAUAAAGUGACAAAAUAAGAGGCUUUCACAAUGUAAAGAAUAUAUGCACUGAAGAGCUAUUUGGCAACAGAUUCAUUUACCGUGAGGUGAGCCCUUUAAAUUAUUGAGUUUGAAAUGUUCCCUUUUAAGGUUAGCCGGAUAUGAAACUAACUUCUCUCUUUCUACCACUCACUCAGUCUUCUCUUCUGUAGGUGUGACGUGAGGCCUGGCUAGACAAAGGGAUGUCCAAAGAGGACAGACAGGGCAACUAUUUCAUGCAGCAACUAUUUACUUAGGAACAAGGCACUUUUAGUUUGAAUGGUAUAUUUGUGUAAUUUAGAAAGGCACUUUCCUUCUGUCUUUUGAGAAAAUGUCAUAAUAGGCUGAUUGUAUUAAAUCAAAACUUUAUUUCUAUCUGUUGUAAAAUGAGGCAGCAAAAAGACAAAUCUAUGACAUAUAUGAAGAAAAGUCUCCUCUGUGAUGUGUGCAAUUGUGUAUCUCAUCAUCAGUAUGCCCGCAGGUAGUAGCUCUGUAGAAGCACCAUGAUGUGUCAUACCCCCUGCUAGGUGGUGGGGGUCCACUGGCUCGUCUGUCCAGGAACUGCUGAGUCCAUCAGAGAAGUCAGCCAUGCAGGUGGACUAUUAUGUUAUAAAGUGAUGGAUGCAAUCGUAUAAGUAUUAUGUGGGUGUGGUUAAACACAGAGAAGCUAGCAACAAACACUAUUUGGUUCUUGAAACAAUAGCAGGAGUUUUCCAAUCAUGGAUAAGGGAUGGAAAGAUAAGGGAAGGUGACAAUUUCAGGAAGAGAGAAGAGCAUGUAUAAGAUUAGAAAACUAGGGAAGGAGGCCAGGAGAAAUUAGCAAGGUUGGGGUUGCAUGUUGAAUAAGAAAUCUAGAGAGGUGAACUUGGUAAGGUUCUUGUAUGCUAAAUUAAUAAAUUUGGAUUUGAUUUUUUAGAUAAUAGAGCCAAUAUAGAGAUUUAUUUGUUCAGGAAGUCAGUGUUGUUGGUAGAAUGGAGUAUGAACUAGAGACUGAUUGACAACUGGCAGCCAAGUAAGUAGGCCAUUGGAAUGGUCAAAAAGAAGAAAGCUGCAUUUUUUUCAGCCAGGGUUGUAGCAAUUCAGACAGGAGAGACUAUUUUUAUAUAACCUCUAAUAUUUAGUGACUGGUUGGAAUUUGAUGGCAGCUGUAAGCAGAGGGCAACAAAGAAAUAACUUUUAGUAAAAAAAUGAAUGGAUGUAGAGUUGACUUAAGUCUUUUGUUUGCCAAAUUCAAACUUGGUAUUUCCAUCCUGUCUGAUGACUGACCUCAGAAUCUAGACUGAUAGAAAUUACCAUGUUAAACAAGAAGUCAGCAAAUGCUACUGGUGUGGCCUGUUACCAAGGUAAGCAGAGUAAAUUAGUCUUGGAUUUGCUUAAAUGUCUUCUUAUCAGAAAACUUUUUCUUGGUACCAAGUGGCAGCCUCAUCACUACUCAUUCCAUCCUGUCCCCAUACCCAGCUUUAUUUUUCAUCCUAACUCAUUGCCACAUGACAUCACAUCUAUUUCCUCAUUUAUUUUCUCUCUCCCUGCACCAAAAAGUCAACUUUAGCAGGAACACAUGACUUUCUUCUCUAUUGCAUUUCCAGACCUGGAAUAAUGUCUGGUACAGAGUAGUCAAUAAGAAAUAUUUGUUGAAUGUUGAGUGAUUAUUUGUCAUGCAGUGCCUUAGUUUUUAUUCCACAGAACUUCAGCUGCGGACUUUCCAGGUUUGACUUACACUGCAAUAGAUUCUCUGAAUGGUAAUUUACCACCUGCAUGAGAUUGUGUGAUAUGUUGAGUACCUGAUAUCUAUCCAUCUCUUUCUCAUCUGUCCUCCUACCAACACUCAUUUCGGCUGCACCUCUCAUUAUUGGUGAACAGCAUGCUAUAUUCCCAAGUUGCUCAGAUCAGAAACUUGGAGCUAAUUUUUGACCCCCAUCACAUUUGUACCUUUAUUUAGUUGCCAAGUUUUUAUAGCUUUUCACUUGUUCUCUCCUGAAUUGGCACUUUAUUGCUUAAACCAUCAUCCUGAGAUUUUCUGAUCUCUGUCUAUUUAAUCUCUCACUGUGGUUGACCAUCCUGUAUUGCAGAAUAGCAUUUCUCAGAUGUUGUUUUCAUGAUAUUUUCAGAGACUUCUUGUUGUUUAAGAAGAAUAACUUGAACUUUUCAGUCUAAAAUUCUAGUCUGUUCUUCAAAUUGCUCUCUAUUCCUUAUUAAACUAACUUGAUAUUUUCCCAGCAUUUCUCGCAAU